GGCUGAAUAGUUCAGUGGUAAGAGCAGUCGCCCGUCAAGCGAAAGACUCGGGUUCGAUUCCCGAAUCAGCGA
rfam:Camponotus floridanus CamFlo_1.0_3.contig135, whole genome shotgun sequence.